rnacentral:rRNA from 1 species
UACGGGGGGGGCAAGCGUUGUUCGGAAUUACUGGGCGUAAAGGGCUCGUAGGCGGCCAACUAAGUCAGACGUGAAAUCCCUCGGCUUAACCGGGGAACUGCAUCCGAUACUGGAUGGCUUGAAUCCGGGAGAGGGAUGCAGAAUUCCAGGUGUAGCGGUGAAAUGCGUAGAUAUCUGGAGGAAUACCGGUGGCGAAGGCGGCAUCCUGGACCGGCAUUGACGCUGAUGAGCGAAAGCUAGGGGAGCAAACGGG